rnacentral:misc_RNA from 1 species
AAGUCGUAACAAGGUUUCCGUAGGUGAACCUGCGGAAGGAUCAUUAACACGUAUCCAAACGUUAAAACCCCCCCCGUGAACCUUCAUCCUGCUCUUGUAACCGCCCGAGUGUACGGUCUACAGGAAUCGUAGAAGCGCUAUCCUUGCACAAUCAAUGACACUUUCCGACACUGACUGCUUGGAGAAACAUUGCCUAUAGAACUACCGCUCGAUUGUAACUGUUCCAAUGUUCGCACGUAGCCAGAGGUCUCUGAAUCACUACAACUUUCCGGGCUAUGAUUUAUCAGAGAUUGCGAACUACGCGAGGAGCUUUGCCAAAGGGUCCCCAUGCCCCCUAAUAACCCCACAGUUUAAUGUGAAGCUCAAUGUAAUACAUUGGGUAAAAAAACCGAACAACUGUUAACAAUGGAUAUCUUGGUUCUCGC